UACAGAGACUGCAAGCGUUAUUCGGAUUCACUGGGCGUAAAGGGUGCGCAGGCGGCCGUGUGUGUGAGGCGUGAGAGCCCGGGGCUCAACCCCGGAAUUGCACCUCAAACUACAUGGCUAGAGCAUUGGAGAGGGUAGCGGAAUUCACGGUGUAGCAGUGAAAUGCGUAGAUAUCGUGAGGAACACCAGAGGCGAAGGCGGCUACCUGGACAAUUGCUGACGCUCAGGCACGAAAGCGUGGGGAGCAAAAGGG
rnacentral:rRNA from 1 species